rnacentral:rRNA from 1 species
CCUACGGGAGGCAGCAGUGGGGAAUAUUAGACAAUGGGCGAAAGCCUGAUCCAGCCAUGCCGCGUGUGUGAAGAAGGCCUUCGGGUUGUAAAGCACUUUCAGUGGGGAAGAAAGCCUUGGGGCUAAUACCCUCGAGGAAGGACAUCACCCACAGAAGAAGCACCGGCUAACUCCGUGCCAGCAGCCGCGGUAAUACGGAGGGUGCGAGCGUUAAUCGGAAUUACUGGGCGUAAAGCGCGCGUAGGCGGUCUGAUAAGCCGGUUGUGAAAGCCCCGGGCUCAACCUGGGAACGGCAUCCGGAACUGUCAGGCUAGAGUGCAGGAGAGGAAGGUAGAAUUCCCGGUGUAGCGGUGAAAUGCGUAGAGAUCGGGAGGAAUACCAGUGGCGAAGGCGGCCUUCUGGACUGACACUGACGCUGAGGUGCGAAAGCGUGGGUAGCAAACAGGAUUAGAUACCCGUGUAGUC